rnacentral:rRNA from 1 species
UACCCGCAGCACAAGUGGUGGUCAUUAUUAUUGGGCCUAAAGCGUCCGUAGCUGGCGUGUUAGAUGCCUGGGUAAAUCGAUGCGCUCAACGUAUCGAAUUCCGGGUAGACCGGCACGCUCGAGACCGGGAGAGGUGUAGGGUACUCGGGGGGUAGGGGUAAAAUCCUGUAAUCCUCCGGGGAGGACCAGUGGCGAAGGCGUCACGCUAGAACGGCUCCGACAGUGAGGGACGAAGCCCUGGGGCGCAAACCGG